UUUUUUUUUGGUGGGGGGGGGGCAGCCAAGAGUCUGGUGUGCCUGUAGUUCCUGAGUGCAGAGCUUUGGGCACCUCUAAAGAUGGUGCUAUGGUAACUCUUGUAUUGGAGAGUUUUAAACAGAAGGGUGAUAUGAUCUAAAUUGUGCCAAAGUUACUCUGGCUUCUGUGCUGAGUUGGAUGAAGUGGACAAGUUAGAACAUCACAGUUACCAAAGGGAGACCCCAUGGUUUGUGGCAGGGUAAAAUUGAUGUUGGGUGGUGAGGAGUGGUCAGAUUGUAGUUAGCAUAUUAUUUUGAAAGUAGAAUUGAAAUAGUCUGCUGACAUAUUGUAUGUGGAAGGUGAAAAAAAAAACCCUUAGGAUUACUUUAAUUUUUUAGUGCAUUUCUUGGAAAAACAGAAUGUCCAUUUUCUGUGAUGGUCCAUGGUAUGGAAGGAAUAGUUUUCUAGAUGGGGAGGGAUAGAAAACCUGGAAUUCAGUUGUGGACAUAUUAAAUCUGAGGUACCAAUUAGAAAUCCAAGUGGGGAAUAUGAAAUAUAUUAUUUUAGGAUCAGAAAAAAAGGGAAUUCCUUUCCUGCCCAUUGUUAAGGUUCAUGACCAACAAUCCUGUAAAACAAAAAAAGACAGGAUAAGAGGCUGGAGUUAUAGCUCAGUGGUAGAGCGCUUGCCUAGCAUGUGUGAGGCACUGGAUUGGAUUCUCAGCACCACAUAUAAAUAAAUAAAAAUAAAGUUCUAUCAACAACUAAAAAAAUUUAAAGACAGGUUAAUAAGAGAAAAGCAUAAUAAAUUUAUUUGACCAUAGUUUCACAUGGCAUGGGAGUCUUUAGAAUGAAGACCAAAGACCUGGGGUAAAGCAUCCAUUUCUAUGGUUAGGUUUGAUGAAGCAUGAAUGUCAGUAUAGAUAUGUGACUGGACAAAAACGGGUAUGACAUAAUAAGAAUCAAC
rnacentral:lncRNA from 1 species